UACGUAGGUGGCAAGCGUUGUCCGGAUUUAUUGGGCGUAAAGCGCGCGCAGGCGGUCCUUUAAGUCUGAUGUGAAAUCUUGCGGCUCAACCGCAAGCGGUCAUUGGAAACUGGGGGACUUGAGUACAGAAGAGGAAAGCGGAAUUCCACGUGUAGCGGUGAAAUGCGUAGAGAUGUGGAGGAACACCAGUGGCGAAGGCGGCUUUCUGGUCUGUAACUGACGCUGAGGCGCGAAAGCGUGGGGAGCGAACAGG
rnacentral:rRNA from 1 species